rnacentral:rRNA from 1 species
AGAUUGAACGCUGGCGGCAGGCCUAACACGUGCAAGUCGAGCGGUAGAGAGGUGCUUGCACCUCUUGAGAGCGGCGGACGGGUGAGUAAUGCCUAGGAAUCUGCCUAGUGGUGGGGGAUAACGUUCGGAAACGGACGCUAAUACCGCAUACGUCCUACGGGAGAAAGCGGGGGACCUUCGGGCCUCGCGCCAUUAGAUGAGCCUAGGUCGGAUUAGCUAGUUGGUGAGGUAAUGGCUCACCAAGGCGACGAUCCCGUAACUGGUCUGAGAGGAUGAUCAGUCACACUGGAACUGAGACACGGUCCAGACCUCUACGGGAGCAGCAG